CGCGUAGACGGUUUUGUAAGUCAGAUGUGAAAUCCCUGGGCUCAACCUGGGAACUGCAUUUGAAACUGCAUGGCUAGAGUAUGGAAGAGGGAAGUGGAAUUUCCGGUGUAGCGGCGAAAUGCGUAGAUAUCGGAAGGAACACCAGUGGCGAAAGCGACUUCCUGGUCCAAUACUGACGUUCAUGUGCGAAAGCGUGGGGAGCAAACAGGAUUAGAUACCCUGGCAGUCCACGCCAUAAACGAUGACAACUAGAUGUUGGGAGGGUCUGCCUCUCGGUGUCGCAGCUAACGCGUUAAGUUGUCCGCCUGGGGAGUACGGCCGCAAGGUUGAA
rnacentral:rRNA from 1 species